rnacentral:rRNA from 1 species
AACGAACGCUGGCGGCAUGCCUAACACAUGCAAGUCGAACGAGACCUUCGGGCUUAGUGGCGCACGGGUGCGUAACGCGUGGGAACCUGCCUUUAGGUUCGGAAUAACUCCCCGAAAGGGGUGCUAAUAACGGAUAAUGUCUCCGGACCAAAGAUUUAUCGCUUUUGGAUGGGCCCGCGGUGGAUUAGCUAGUUGGUAGGGUAAAAGCCUACCAAGGCGACGAUCCAUAGCUGGUCUGAGAGGAUGAGCAGCCACACUGGGACUGAGACACGGCCCAGACUCCUGCGGGAGGCAGCAGUGGGUAAUAUUGGACAAUGGGCGAGAGCCUGAACCAGCAAUGCCGCGUGAGUGAUGAAGGCCUUAGGGUUGUAAAGCUCUUGUACCCGGGAGGAUAAUGACAGUACCGGGAGAAUAAGCGCCGGCUAACUCCGUG